rnacentral:tRNA from 1 species
GGCCGCGUGGCCUAAUGGCUAAGGCGCUAGAUUUCGGUCCCUGCACACAUCGAAUUCUCUAGAGAUUCCAGGUUCGACUCCUGGCGUGGUCG